rnacentral:rRNA from 1 species
AUUGAACGCUGGCGGCAGGCCUAACACAUGCAAGUCGAGCGAUCGGCGGACGGGUGAGUCAUGUCUGGGAAACUGCCUGAUGGAGGGGGAUAACUACUGGAAACGGCAGCUAAUACUGCAUACCAUCCGCUCUGCCCAGAUGGGAUUAGCUAGUAGGUGGGGUAACGGCUCACCUAGGCGACCAACCCUACCUGGUCUGAGCGGAUGACCAGCCACACUGGAACUGAGACACGGUCCAGCCUCCUACGGGAGGCAGCAGUGGGGAAUAUUGCACAAUGGGCGCAAGCCUGAUGCAGCCAUGCCGCGUGUGUGAAGAAGGCCUUCGGGUUAUAAAGCACUUUCAGCGGGGAGGCGUUACCCGCAGAAGAAGCACCGGCUAACUCCGUGCCAGCCACCGCGGUAAUAC